rnacentral:rRNA from 1 species
AUUGAACGCUGGCGGCAGGCCUAACACAUGCAAGUAGAACGCACUUGCGAACGGGUGAGUAACGCGUAGGUAACUGCCUCCUAGCGGGGGAUAACUAUUGGAAACGAUAUCUAAUACCGCAUACUUUGAGAUGGUCCUGCGGUGUAUUAGGUAGUUGGUGAGUUAAAGGCCCACCAAGGCGACGAUACAUAGCCGACCUGAGCGGGGGAUCGGGCAAACAGGGAAUGGGGAACGGUCCAAGCUCCUACGGGGGGCAGCAAGAGGGAAAGUUUGGCAAUGGAGGGAAGGCUGAACGCGGAACGGCGCGGGAGGGAAGAAGGUUUUCGGAUCGGAAAGCUCUGUUGUUAGAGAAGCGGUAACUAAACAGAAAGGGACGGCUAACUACGUGCCAGCAGCCGCGGUAAUAC